rnacentral:rRNA from 1 species
CAGUAGCCGCGGUAAAACGGGGGGGGCAAGUGUUAUUCGGAAUGACUGGGCGUAAAGGGCACGUAGGCGGUGAAAAGGGUGGAAAGUGAAAGUCGCCAAAACACUGGCGGGGUGCUUUCUUGACCAUUUCACUUGAGUGAGAUAGGGGAGAGUGGAAUUUCGUGUGGAGGGAUCAAAUCCUAAGAUAUACGAAGGAACGCCAACCGCGAAGGCAGCUCUCUGGGUCCCCACUGACGCUGGGGUGCGAAAGCAUGGGGAGCAAACAGGAUCAGAUACCCCCGUAGUCCCUGUCUCUUAUACA